UAAAAAGUGUUAGGCAAUUGGAACAAAAGGCGGCAGCUGCGCUAACUAAUACACCAGUGCCUGUAUCAGCACCUGCGCCAAAUAAUGUACCGGCUUCAGCUUCAACGCCUGCAGCAACC